rnacentral:rRNA from 1 species
CCUACGGGGGGCAGCAGUGAGGAAUAUUGGUCAAUGGGCGUAAGCCUGAACCAGCCAAGUCGCGUGAGGGAUGAAGGUUCUAUGGAUCGUAAACCUCUUUUAUAAGGGAAUAAAGGGGGGGACGUGUCCCAGUGUGUGUGUACCUUAUGAAUAAGGAUCGGCUAACUCCGUGCCAGCAUCCGCGGUAAUACGGAGGAUUCGAGCGUUAUCCGGAUUGAUUGGGUUUAAAGGGUGCGUAGGCGGCCUUUUAAGUCAGCGGUGAAAGUCUGGGGCUCAACCCUGGAAUUGCCGUUGAAACUGGGGGGCUUGAGUAUGUUUGAGGCAGGCGGAAUGCGUGGUGUAGCGGUGAAAUGCUUAGAUAUCACGCAGAACCCCGAUUGCGAAGGCAGCCUGCCAAGCCAUGACUGACGCUGAUGCACGAAAGCGUGGGGAUCAAACAGGAUUAGAUACCCCAGUAGUC